rnacentral:rRNA from 1 species
GUGAUCUACCCAUGUCCAGGAUGAAGGUAAGGUAAUACUUACUGGAGGUCCGAACCCACGCACGUUGAAAAGUGCGGGGAUGAGGUGUGGGUAGCGGAGAAAUUCCAAUCGAACUUGGAGAUAGCUGGUUCUCUCCGAAAUAGCUUUAGGGCUAGCCUCGAGGUAAAGAGUCAUGGAGGUAGAGCACUGUUUGGACUAGGGGCCCUUCUCGGGUUACCGAAUUCAGAUAAACUCCGAAUGCCAUGUACUUAUACUCGGGAGUCAGACUGCGAGUGAUAAGAUCCGUAGUCGAAAGGGAAACAGCCCAGACCACCAGUUAAGGUCCCCAAAUAUAUGUUAAGUGGAAAAGGAUGUGGGGUUGCUUAGACAACCAGGAUGUUGGCUUAGAAGCAGCCACCAUUGAAAGAGUGCGUAAUAGCUCACUGGUCGAGUGACCCCGCGCCGAAAAUGUACCGGGGCUAAACAUAUUACCGAAACUGUGGAUGAACCUCUUUAGAGGUUCGUGGUAGGAGAGCGUUCUAAGGGCGGUGAAGUCAGACCGGAAGGACUGGUGGAGCGCUUAGAAGUGAGAAUGCCGGUAUGAGUAGCGAAAGAAGGGUGAGAAUCCCUUCCACCGAAUAUCUAAGGUUUCCUGAGGAAGGCUCGUCCGCUCAGGGUUAGUCGGGACCUAAGCCGAGGCCGAUAGGCGUAGGCGAUGGACAACAGGUAGAGAUUCCUGUACCAGUGCUAAUUGUUUAACCGAUGGGGUGACACAGAAGGAUAGGGAAUCGCACGAAUGGAAAUGUGCGUCCAAGCAGUGAGUGUGAG